GCUUGUCUCAAAGAUUAAGCCAUGCAUGUCUAAGUAUAAGUAGUAUACAGCGAAACUGCGAAUGGCUCAUUAAAACAGUUAUAGUUUAUUCGAUAGUAAAAUUACAUGGAUAACCGUGGUAAAUCUAUGGCUAAUACAUGCGCAAAGGCCCGACCCUGAAGGGCUGUAUUUAUUAGAUCUAACCAUCAUUUGGUGAAUCAUAGUAACUGAUCGGAUCGCAUGGGCUACGCCCGCGACAAACCAUUCAAGUUUCUGCCCCAUCAGCUUUCGAUGGUAGUGUAUUGGACUACCAUGGCUUUUACGGGUAACGGAGGAUUAGGGUUCGAUUCCGGAGAGGGAGCCUGAGAAACGGCUACCACAUCUAAGGAAGGCAGCAGG
rnacentral:rRNA from 1 species